ensembl:lncRNA novel transcript, antisense to CCDC93
GAAUUGGGAGACCCAGUUUCUGGCUUUUCACAUCUGCUUCCCUUUCAGAGCUGCUCCCAUUAAUCCCAGAUCUACCCUGAGUUACAGCCUGGCUGGAUCCUGGAGAGCAUGAUCCCAUUAUGAAGGGAAAGCUUGUUGAGUCCUAACAGAUGUUUUGGAGUUUCCAGCAUGAAAGGCUAUAGAGGGAAACUCUUGGACAGCCUAGCUCUGCCACAGGUUCCCUAGCACUCAAGAAAAAUAUUGACCUUCACAGGAGUCACAUGUCCAACCCAGGAGAAAAAGAUAUGAUCUAGAACUACCAGGGGCCAGAAAUUAGAUCUGCUUUUUUCUUGGCUGCAUCCAGAGAAAGUUACUACAGCUUUGCUAAAAUGGUGUGAACACGGAUGAUGGGCUUCUAGAAUCACAUAAGAGAAGAUCCAGGACAGACGGACCCAUUACAGGACAAGCCAGGCCCAUCACAGGAAUUCUGAUGUUAAGAGGACAAGAAACCACACAGAGGCUCUCACCUGAACAACAGGAAAUAUGUGAAUAAAAUCCAUCCCCUGGAUCUGGUGGGGC